GCCGGUAUAGCUCAGUAGGUAGAGCAACUGACUUGUAAUCAGUAGGUCCCGGGUUCGACUCCUGGUGCCGGCACCA
rnacentral:tRNA from 1 species